CCUACGGGGGGCAGCAGUGAGGAAUAUUGGUCAAUGGGCGGAAGCCUGAACCAGCCAAGUCGCGUGGGGGAAUAAGGCCCUACGGGUCGUAAACCUCUUUUGCCGGGGAGCAAGGGCCGGGACGCGUCCCGGCCCGGAGAGUACCCGGAGAAAAAGCAUCGGCUAACUCCGUGCCAGCAGCCGCGGUAAUACGGAGGAUGCGAGCGUUAUCCGGAUUUAUUGGGUUUAAAGGGUGCGUAGGCGGGCUUUUAAGUCAGCGGGAAAAAUUCGGGGCUCAACCCCGUCCGGCCGUUGAAACUGGGGGC
rnacentral:rRNA from 1 species